rnacentral:lncRNA from 1 species
UCCUUCGUACAAGGCAUAGCCCCAUUCUGGAUGAGUGAAUGACACAAAGAAUAUCGGGCUGCCUCAAAAACUUGGCUUAUGAGGGCUGAUCAAGGCAGUCUUCGUCUAGAACAACACAUCCCCUGCAAUCCUACCUCUUGGGCUGGUUUGAAAAGUUGCUUACAAGACUGGCACACCGCACUGCUACAUCAUCUGCAAAUUGGACAGUCGAGUGUCUAGGCGUUGAAGCGGCGCAGCCGUCGCUGCCGUAUCUCCUCUGCUUCUGAUGGCUCCUCGCCAUUGCUUGGAUCUGCAUCUGGCGUGUCCAACCUCCCGCUUGCAGACCCGUUCAGUGUGUCAGCUGAUGCUGACGACGCGCUGGAUGCGGCCUUCUGCUGCUGCUUGCUCUCGGCCUCUGCACUGCUUGACCCCUGCCAGAGUCACACACAAGGAUUAGCACAUAAGCACCUGAGCACAAACAUUGCCUACCUAAAUACUUUUUCUUAGCCUGGAUUUCUGUCGAAGACCCAAUCUUCAGUGCCCAGUCCAGGGCAGCAUUCUGCACCCCCACAGGUGAACAACAGCCAUGUUCACAAUCGGCACUUGAGGUGCCUACAGGGGGACGCGGUUGCAAGAUUUGAAAUGCUCACAAACACUCUACUGCAACGCCCAGCCAGACAAAGUCAUCGAAGUUAGCAUCCUGCAACGAUAGGACCAUAGACGCUGAAACAUGAACUAGGGGCAUCACCGCAGCGCCGUUCUGCUGGGGAAGAGACGGCGCCAGGCCAUCUGCAGAGCUGGAGGGCCCGGGGGCGGCAGC